rnacentral:tRNA from 1 species
CAAAAUAAAGCUUUAAAAGGAAAGCAUUUCAUUUACACUGAAGGGAAAUCUGUGCAAUUCAGUUUGUUUUGA